CAGUCGCCGCGGUAAUACAGAGGGUGCGAGCGUUAAUCGGAUUUACUGGGCGUAAAGCGUGCGUAGGCGGCUUUUUAAGUCGGAUGUGAAAUCCCUGAGCUUAACUUAGGAAUUGCAUUCGAUACUGGGAAGCUAGAGUAUGGGAGAGGAUGGUAGAAUUCCAGGUGUAGCGGUGAAAUGCGUAGAGAUCUGGAGGAAUACCGAUGGCGAAGGCAGCCAUCUGGCCUAAUACUGACGCUGAGGUACGAAAGCAUGGGGAGCAAACAGGAUUAGAUACCCGUGUAGUUCCUGUCUCUUAUAC
rnacentral:rRNA from 1 species